rnacentral:rRNA from 1 species
GACGAACGCUGGCGGCGUGCUUAAUACAUGCAAGUCAACUGAACUUAAGAUAGCAAUAUUUUAAGGGAGGUGGCGCACGGGUGAGUAACACGUAGGUAAUCUGCCUUUAGGUCUGACACAACCCCGAGAAAUCGGGGCUAAUAUCAGAUGAUGCAGCGGCUCGACAUCGAGACAGUUGUUAAACCUUCGGGGCCUAAAGAUGAGCCUGCGUCUGAUUAGCUGGUUGGCGGGGUAACGGCCCACCAAGGCAACGAUCAGUAGCUGGUCUGAGAGGAUGAUCAGCCACACUGGAACUGAGACACGGUCCAGACUCCUACGGGAGGCAGCAGUAAGGAAUAUUGCUCAAUGGCCGAAAGGCUGAAGCAGCAACGCCGCGUGGAGGAUGAAAUACUUUUGUAUGUAAACUCCUGUGAGAAGGGAAAAUAUGCAGAUUUUCUGCGUUGAUUGUACCUUCAGAGGAAGCCCCGGCUAACUACGUGCCAGC